AUCACAACUUCUUUUGUGUAUUCUUUUGGCUGCUUGAAUGGUUCCACUCUUGCAGCUAUUCAUUGAAGUGAAGCAAAAAAGAAAGCUCCCCUCGCUAUCCAAUGCAGCAUUUUAUGUUGUAUUUGGACAUUGGGAAGCAACACAU